rnacentral:misc_RNA from 1 species
AGGCUCUUGAGGAGGUACCAUGAGGUACCAAAAAUUUAGUGUAAAAUUUAAUACCUCAUAGUACCUCGAUGUCAAGAGAUACCAAAUUUACAAUAGAAAAAGUGGUACCUCAUGGUACUUUCUUAAGAACUAUAAAAUUG